AUGUAAGACUUAAUUGCCUUGCUUCCCCUUUGCCUUCCGCCGUGAUUGUAAGUUUCCUGAGGCCUCCCCAGCCAUUCGGAACUAUAAGGAAAUUGGGUCUCAGAGAUGUUAAAUGACUGGCCUGUGAUGACACAACUAGAAAGGAGCAGAACAUCCCAAUGUAGGCUGAUGCCUGAACCAGGACACUUAACCUGCAUGCUGUCCUCCCUCUGCAGACACAGUGGCAAUGAGUGGACCACACCAAAUCUACAGUGAAUAUGCAGCAAGAGACCUGAGCCAAGUAACCCCAGCACAGUCUGAGAUGUGCAAGGCAGAAGCAAAUUUAAGGAGAAUGAAACGGAAAGCAAGGCCCAAUUAAAAUCCAAAUGAACAGGAAGCACGAUGCAAAAGCAAACUUGGAAAAAGCCAAGGCGAGAGAGGAACACUCUGGAAGAAGCACAGUUAUGGCAAAGGAGCUAUCCUGUACCAACACGAAGGAGAGAGUGGUAAAGGACCCCACAGAAAUGGAGGGAAUGAUAUUGACACAAAAAUGGCAACAAGAUCUAACUCC